rnacentral:rRNA from 1 species
UACGUAGGGGGCGAGCGUUGUCCGGAAUCAUUGGGCGUAAAGAGCUCGUAGGCGGUUCAGUAAGUCAGGUGUGAAAGCUCCGAGCUCAACUCGGAGAGGCCACCUGAUACUGCUGUGACUAGAAUCCAGUAGGGGAGUGUGGAACUCCUGGUGUAGCGGUGAAAUGCGCAGAUAUCAGGAAGAACACCGGUGGCGAAGGCGGGUCUCUGGGCCGUAACUGACGCUGAGGAGCGAAAGCGUGGGGAGCGAACAGG